GUUUCAGUGAGCAAAGUUUGCUUGCUUUACUUGAGUUCUCAUACACUUCCACCCUCAAUCUGAAUUUGGACAUCUUGACAGAGGUUUGUGCCAUGGCCCGCCAUUUACGCAUGUGGCCUGCCCUUGAGGCCUGCUCUGCUAUCAAAAGGGAGCGAGAGACUUGUCAGUUACGUUCCAGAAUGCACAGUUCUGCUGUGGAACCAAAUAAUUCAAUGGCUGGACUUUUCAGGAGGGACCACUCCUCAACUUCAGGAGGGAAAGUGGGACUCAAGAGGAGAAGAGAGGAUGAGGAAGGAGAAGGCUCUGGGUCUUCCUGGAACAUCCAAGCACAGCACAGAGAGCACAUUGUUGAUAAGCUCACAGAUGAAUCUGAAACAGAAACCUCAAACCCUCAGUUGCAAUGCCAAGUCCCCUCCAGUUUUCAGGUGGAGGGAAAUGGCUUUCCAUGCAGCCCAAAUCGCAGAAUGAAGCUCAUGGACUUCAAAUCUCCAUCCUGCAAGAAAAAAUCGUCCUCCCGCCCCACCUCUUCAAUCAUAUCAACAUCUCCUUGCACCUCUACUCGUUCUUCCUCUCCAUCACGCCGUCUGCUUCGUUCUUCACCUGGCGCUGCACUUGCUUUGCGCAGACUCCUGCCCAAAAUUGACCUUUCCACCAAGAGAAAGAGGAAGUCCUCUUCCUACCGGUCAUACAAGCCCCAGUGUGAAUUCUCAGUGACUCCCUUCCAAUCUCAGGCAAAUUCUUUGACCCGUGUUACCUCAUUAAAGGUAAAGGACGAGGAUGUGGAGGAGGAGGUAUCUAACACAGUCCCUCAGGAUGAGGUGCACAGCCCACGUGCUCAGGAGAAAUACCGUCUUCUUAGCUUCCUUGGCUUGCACGGGAAAAAAACGACUUAGGAAGUUAAAAGUCAGUGAUUAUUCACUAACAGCCCGACGUAAACCUCGUGCACAGGACGUCCCGUUGAGUUUCGGAACUAGUUUAGGGGUGCUUGCCACCGUUAAUCCUACUCUGUCCCUCUGUGACAUGAGCAGAAUGGACUUGCUGAACAGACCAGUGAAAGUAGAACUUUGGAACCAAGAAAGGUCCAAAAGGAAAAGACAUGAUCCUGCAGGGCAAGCUGGGCAGCCAAUUGCAAGAGUUACUCGUAGUAGGUCAUUGCUGCAGACAGAGUCCAGUGCAACAGAUCGACCGCUCAGACGCCACCACAGAAAUGAAGAUAAAGCACCUUCCCACCCUGCACGAAAAGGUAGAGUACCAGCACACAAUGCCUCUUCCCCGUCAAAAAGCACUAUGCUCAGGAUAAAACAGGAAUCUUCAGAAAGUGCCAUCCUGCAACCUAUUCAUCGUCGUAAUACUGCCUAUAACCCCCAGGGAACUUCUCCUAAAUCAACAGGACGUAGGGGUCGCCCACCAGCAGAUCGCACAGUAAGGGUAGCCACAACAAAGUUGCAGCACACAAAGCGGCACAAACCUGGGCGCCCCCAAAAAGACAAACCUAAGAGCUCAAAACAAAUAGAAAGCAAAACAAAAUGCAACCAUGCUACAGGAAUGCCACAUGCAAAGCAGAGCAGAACUGAAAGAGGAACACAGGUAAAGGAGAACAGAAAAAUUAAGGAACGCGGCAACAGAAAAGAGAGUCCUGAAGUUCCAUAUGCCAUUGUGAACUGGGAUACUUCCAACCAUCAGCAACUUCACAGCCAUCCCCUUUACAAAACUAUAAAGGAAGAGCCAGCUGACCCCUUGCCCCUUACCCAGCCAUUUCCAAUCAGUGACUCCUCUGACCUGGGCAAGCGUCAGAGCAAACCACCCAUCAAACUGUUAGAUCAAGGCUUUCUUUUCGGCUUCUGUCGGUCACCAAGUGGCAUUAAACGGGAGGAGGAGAGCGUGGACAUCUACCUAACUCAUGGAAAUAGUUCCCAUUGUGAUUCAUCUCCUGGCAUGGUGAGAAGAGAUCGGGUGAGGGCCAGGAUUAUGCCAGACCGGACGGGUCUAAAUGGGCCUCACUGGGCUGGACUUGGCAACAGGCACUCCCCUUUUUCCCAAAGGACUGCUGUCCGAGUGAAGGCCGAGAGGGAUGAAACAGGAAUGUCCCAAGGGUCACAGGUUAACCAAGUUUCUAGACACCCCCAGGUCAGCAAGAGAAGCUGUAAAGUCAAGAAAGAACCUACAAAGACAAAGAAUGUAAAUAAGCUGCUUCCUCUGAGCAGUCAGCGUUCCGUCCUACUGGAAUCCAUCCGACGGGCACGUCUGAAACAACAGAAGGGUCCUCACGGUCAGGCCUCCGGUGGACCACAUGCUUGCCUGCAGUGCAGAGCCUCCUAUAGGGACUGUGAUGCUCUUAUUAUGCACCGGAUCAGGCACAUUGAAGGCAAACACUGGCCCUGCCCGUUGUGCAGCAAAACUUUCUUCAGACAGAGAAAUGUGAGGAAUCACAUAAGGACACAUAAUCCCAAGAUCUACAAAUGCCGCCAGUGCAUCGCUGCUCAGUGAGGUAAAAAGCCACAGGAUUAAAUGAAGAGGAGCAAAGCUUUAUUUCUUUAAAUAUUAACGCUGUAAAUACAAAGGAUUUGUGACGUAUGACAAUGAGGUUAAAUUUAUUAAUGUAAAUAAUGUUAUGAUGGUUUAAAUAGUCUUUUUCCUCACAAUAAUUGUUGUUAUUUAAGUAGCUAAGCUGAAGUUGCUUUGCAAUUGAUACAGAUGUGUUGAACCAUAACUUAACCCAUGGUGUAUUUCUCAGGGGGCGGAGCCUGAUGGUUUAAG
rnacentral:lncRNA from 1 species